AUUGAACGCUGGCGGCAGGCCUAACACAUGCGAGUCGAGCGGAUGAAGGGAGCUUGCUCCUGGAUUCAGCGGCGGACGGGUGAGUAAUGCCUAGGAAUCUGCCUGGUAGUGGGGGAUAACGUCCGGAAACGGGCGCUAAUACCGCAUACGUCCUGAGGGAGAAAGUGGGGGAUCUUCGGACCCCACGCUAUCAGAUGAGCCUAGGUCGGAUUAGCUAGUUGGUGGGGUAAAGGCCUACCAAGGCGACGAUCCGUAACUGGUCUGAGAGGAUGAUCAGUCACACUGGAACUGAGACACGGUCCAGACUCCUACGGGAGGCAGCAGUGGGGAAUAUUGGACAAUGGGCGAAAGCCUGAUCCAGCCAUGCCGCGUGUGUGAAGAAGGUCUUCGGAUUGUAAAGCACUUUAAGUUGGGAGGAAGGGCAGUAAGUUAAUACCUUGCUGUUUUGACGUUACCAACAGAAUAAGCACCGGCUAACUUCGUG
rnacentral:rRNA from 1 species